CAGUCGCCGCGGUAAAACGGAGGAUCCAAGCGUUAUCCGGAAUCAUUGGGUUUAAAGGGUCCGUAGGCGGUCUUGUAAGUCAGUGGUGAAAGCCCAUCGCUCAACGGUGGAACGGCCAUUGAUACUGCAGGACUUGAAUUAUUGGGAAGUAACUAGAAUAUGUAGUGUAGCGGUGAAAUGCUUAGAGAUUACAUGGAAUACCAAUUGCGAAGGCAGGUUACUACCAAUUGAUUGACGCUGAUGGACGAAAGCGUGGGUAGCGAACAGGAUUAGAUACCCGCGUAGUCCCUGUCUCUUAUAC
rnacentral:rRNA from 1 species